GACGAACGCUGGCGGCGUGCUUAACACAUGCAAGUCGAACGGUAAGGCCCUUCGGGGUACACGAGUGGCGAACGGGUGAGUAACACGUGGGUGAUCUGCCCUGCACUUCGGGAUAAGCCUGGGAAACUGGGUCUAAUACCGGAUAGGACCACUGCCUGCAUGGGUGGUGGUGGAAAGCUUUUGCGGUGUGGGAUGGGCCCGCGGCCUAUCAGCUUGUUGGUGGGGUGAUGGCCUACCAAGGCGACGACGGGUAGCCGGCCUGAGAGGGUGACCGGCCACACUGGGACUGAGAUACGGCCCAGACUCCUACGGGAGGCAGCAGUGGGGAAUAUUGCACAAUGGGCGCAAGCCUGAGGCAGCAACGCCGCGUGAGGGAUGACGGCCUUCGGGUUGUAAACCUCUUUUAGUAGGGAAGAAGCGAAAGUGACGGUAGGUGCAGAAGAAGGACCGGCCAACUACGUGCCAGCCGCCGCCGUAA
rnacentral:rRNA from 1 species